rnacentral:rRNA from 1 species
CCUACGGGAGGCAGCAGUGAGGAAUAUUGGUCAAUGGGCUUAAGCCUGAACCAGCAAAGUCGCGUGAGGGAAGACUGCCCUAUGGGUUGUAAACUUCUUUUAUAUGGGAAUAAAAUGUUCCACGUGUGGGAUUUUGUAUGUACCAUAUGAAUAAGGAUCGGCUAACUCCGUGCCAGCCGCCGCGGUAAUACGGAGGAUCCGAGCGUUAUCCGGAUUUAUUGGGUUUAAAGGGAGCGUAUGUGGAUUGUUAAGUCAGUUGUGAAAGUUUGCGGCUCAACCGUAAAAUUGCAGUUGAAACUGGCAGUCUUGAGUACAGUAGAGGUGGGCGGAAUUCGUGGUGUAGCGGUGAAAUGCUUAGAUAUCACGAAGAACUCCGAUUGCGAAGGCAGCUCACUGGACUGCAACUGACACUGAGGCUCGAAAGUGUGGGUAUCAAACAGGAUUAGAUACCCCUGUAGUC